rnacentral:rRNA from 1 species
UACAGAGGUCUCAAGCGUUGUUCGGAUUCAUUGGGCGUAAAGGGUGCGUAGGCGGCGCGGUCAGUCGGGUGUGAAAUCUCGGAGCUUAACUCCGAAACUGCAUUCGAUACUGCCGUGCUCGAGGACUGGAGAGGAGACUGGAAUUUACGGUGUAGCGGUGAAAUGCGUAGAUAUCGUAAGGAAGACCAGUGGCGAAGGCGGGUCUCUGGACAGUACCUGACGCUGAGGCACGAAGGCCAGGGGAGCAAACGGG